AUUGAACGCUGGCGGCGUGCCUAAUACAUGCAAGUCGAGCGAAUGGAUUAAGAGCUUGCUCUUAUGAAGUUAGCGGCGGACGGGUGAGUAACACGUGGGUAACCUGCCCAUAAGACUGGGAUAACUCCGGGAAACCGGGGCUAAUACCGGAUAAUAUUUUGAACUGCAUGGUUCAAAAUUGAAAGGCGGCUUCGGCUGUCACUUAUGGAUGGACCCGCGUCGCAUUAGCUAGUUGGUGAGGUAACGGCUCACCAAGGCAACGAUGCGUAGCCGAGCUGAGAGUGUGAUCGGCCACACUGGGACUGAGGCACGGCCCAGACUCCUACGGGAGGUAGCAGUAGGGAAUCUUCCGCAAUGGACGAAAGGCUGACGGAGCAACGCCGCGUGAGUGAUGAAGGCUUUCGGGUCGUAAAACUCUGUUGUUAGGGAAGAACAAGUGCUAGUUGAAUAAGCUGGCACCUUGACGGUACCUAACCAGAAAGCCACGGCUAACUACGUGCCAGCCGCCGCGGUAA
rnacentral:rRNA from 1 species